UCAAUAAGGCAAACGUAAAAUAUAGUGAGAAUCACUUGCGAGAAAAGCUUCUUUGUUCAUCGUCUUUCAAGGUGUAUAUAGGUGGGGCAACGUUCCAACUUCAACGGCAUUUACCUACAACCAUAUAUUCUUGCAAAAAUGUUUUUCGUUAUGGCCUCAAUUUUUUUUCUACUAUCAACGAUGCAUGGAGAACGCCGCUUAUCUGCUCUUGCAUUGAAUACACGUUUACGCUGUCAGAAACGCGGUAGCCCUCAUUUGCGUCCGGCACCUCCUACAGCGCCUAGCACAACAACUCGUCGUCCAAACUCAAUUCGCAAUGGGCCAAUGUACGGCUAAAGCAAUGUCAUUCUUGGUGGAUACGAAUACCAACACCGAUGCGGAGCUCCACGAAAUACUACACUGUGCAGCCCUGCUCAGCACGUGAAUAAACAAUAAAUAUUUUAUUCAUA